GCAUGUGAGGUAUUCCAGGACCCGAAAGAAAGCGAGUGAGGCUAGAGCAUCAUAAGCGAGGGCAAGUGUAGUACUGGAAAAAGUUAGAGAAGGAGGACCAGAUUACCAGAAAGGAAUCUGGAUGUUACUCUGGGUUCAGGAGGAAACCAAUGAGGGGUUUUGAAGCAAGGACUAACAUUCCCUGAAUUACCCUUGUCAAGGACUACUCCCGGCUGCCACAGAGAGAUCAGAGGAGAAGCACGGAGACCACACAAGGACAGCGUGGUGCAUGGUGGCGGCUUGAACCAGUUUCUAUUUGAGGUGCCUGCUAGACAAGCCCGUGAAGAUAGACAGGAGGCUGUGGCUCAGAAGACCGUCAGGCUGGAGAGAACACAUUGGCAAGUCAGCAGCAUGAAGAGGGUCAAAGAGACUUCGCCAGGUAACCUGGGGAACCAGAAAAUCUAGAUGGGGAAUAGAGGAGGUCCCAAGGCAGAACCAGCCUUGCAUAUUUGAAAGGGAGUUAAGGAGCCAGCAAGGGGGACUGAGAAUUACCUGCCACGGGGGAGGGUGGGCAAGCAAUCACGUGGUGUCCCGGAAGCUAAGAGAGAAAAUUUUCGGGUAGGGAGGGGAUCAGUUAUGUCAUAUGCUGUUGAAAGGUGGAAUGUGGUGGGGACAGAGGAAUGUCUGCGGGAUUCUGCCACGGUGACAAUUCUGGACAUAAGUGUUCCAGCAGAGCAGGGAGGACAGAAGCCCGUUGGGAGCGAGUGGGAACGUGGGCUCCUGGAAAGUCAGGAAGAUCCGCUAACUAGCCCUGAAUUUUCCCACUGCACGAUUUCUUGUGCCUGGAUCACCUUUUUUGCUGUGCCUUCCCCUCCAUGGUGUGAUGCCCAUCACCAUGUUGGACAAAUUUCCUUCGUUAGCAGUCCCCAGGUGCCCCCAAUCUCUCCACUGUAAUGCACCUGUUUGCAGCUUACGCCCUGUCACAAAGUGGAGGUGGGUCAAUGCUGUGAACUCUGGAAUUUUCAUCCAUAUUUCUGGCAAUUGUUUUUUUUCACGGCAGCAUAAGCAGAAGAGAAGCCGGCCAGCCUGUCCCAGUUACCUGCCACGGCAGGUAAACAGAGGGCAGAAGGCCCUGGCGGCAGCUUGAGAGGCAAGGACCCCGGGGCUGUUGGACUGAGCGUCCCUCCCGUUCCUCUGCCUCCAGCCCCCUCGGCAUCUAGCCUGGAGAGUGGCUGUGGCCACAGUCUGUCUGCACGAGACCAUUUGUCCAUCUGUCUCAGCCGGAGCAGCCUCAGCGCCCGGCGCGGAGAGAGCGCAGCUCCCGGUUAGCACGAGCCUGCAGAUGUGAGGUCCCCAGGGUGGCCCCUUUCACCACUGGGGCCUGGAGGAGAUCCCCAAAUCGGAAUGCGCUUCCUCACUCAGCACGAGACACUGGGAAAUCGACCCACCUUACGUAUUAUCCAUCUACUUGGUGUAAAAAGAAACCCACAUUUUUCCUUUUUGACUUUUAACUCCACUCUGUUGACUUGCUCAAAUGGUAGAAGUCUUGCGGGAUGACUUCUGCUCCUCAGCCCUGUUCCUGAAGGUAGCAAGAUGUACUGUUUUUGGCCAGAAGCAGGGGUUUGUCACAAAUAUAUUUUAUAUGUAAGUUCUUCGUCACUCACUUUUGUUGCGAUUUCUAACGAGGGGAGGGGGGAUGGUUUUGACUGUCAAAUUUCCCUUACAGAAAUUGUCCUUGCUAAAUAGUAAGGCUACUGGACAUCCCCCCCAGGACUCUAGGCAGACUUCCUGCUUUGCAUGUGGCCUGUUAAUACCGGAGGGGAACAUCCGAGUGGAGGUCUCCUCCUUCCUCGCCCUGGCCUUGCCCUCCUGGGACGUUUUCGGGUAGUUUCCCAGCAUCACACUCACAGACGUGGAGCAGUUGGUCUGUUUAAAACAGAUAACGACUUGAGUUUCUUCCUGAAGAGAACGGCCAAGGUUAGUGGGUUUUUCCUGUGCACCCAGUAAUUAGUAGGUGCUGCAGGAAGUUAAAAAACACAAGAAGGAAAAUUUGAGAAAGAAAUCAUUUUCUGUAUUUUCCAUAAUAGAAAAGCACACCCUUUGCCUUCAGGGAAACGUACAGGAAUGAGGCUGAGAGAUGAUAGCAGGGCAAGGAAAAAUGAGUUGAGCAACAGGUAGUUAAGAUAUGUAGUCUUACUAAUCUUGAACAGACUUAAAAAAAUUUUUUUUGUUUAAAAUCAAUUAACAUAUAGUAUAUUAUUAGUUUCAGAGGUAAAGUUCAAUGACUCAUCAGUUGCCUAGAACACCUAGUGCUCAUUCCAUCACGCGCCCUCCUUAAUGUCCA